GCGCGCCCGCCCCUGGGCGCGGCCGUUGGUCGGGGGCGCCGCGGCCGUUGGUGCCGCCGCCUCAGGAGGGUCCGUGCCCGGUUCGCAGCGCGGGGGCCGCUUUCUGUCGCCUCUCGCCCCGGAUUACUUUGGCAGCAUUUUGCCUUCUGCCCAUCCAAGCACUGCUAGGAAUAGAGGAUUUCAUCUGUGCUGUUGCUGUUUCCACGCUUACCACUGAAUCAAUAUUGUUUACGCAGAAACAGCAUUACAGAACGAACCACAGUUUACCUGCGAAAUGAAGCUCUUGCCUCCCUGUUGGCAGCCGCCAGGUUCCUUUCGGCCCGGUGACUCAUCCCUCCGCGCGCCCAGCUCC